CUUUCCUGCAUAAAUUACCCAGUCUUAGGUAUUUCUUUAUAGCAGUGUGAAAACGGACUAAUACAACUGCUCUGCUCACCUAAGCCACUCCAAUAGGUUUCUGACUGGCCUCUUCAAAACAGUCCCUGAAGCCCUGCUCUAGUCAUAGACCACAAUGGAGGCAGUGGGAGCUUUUAAAAUAGAAAUCUUGUCACCUCACUUCCAUAUUUUCCCUUUCUCCUGGAUUAAAAUCCUGAGGCUGACCUUCAAGGCUCUGCAUGUUCUGAUUUCUACAUACUUCACCAGCUGUGCACAAAGAAACAUCAUUUGCUGAAUGAAUGAAUAAACCAGUAGACUAAGACACAGCCUCACUUUGGUCUGUUCCUGAUGGGUCACGGUGCAUCUGUUAUUCAAUUCAGUGAUGGACAGCAAUGGUAGUAUGGUCUUCUUAUUGCUUAGUGAUAAACCCAUGUGACAUUUUACAAAAAUGGAUAACUGAAAAAGACAGUUUGCCAACAAAGACGAAAUUGCAACAAAGAAAAAAAAGUGAUAAUACUGCAAAUGAAAUUUGAAGUGAACAUAAUGAAGUUAUAGAGGAAAUCGCUGACCCUGGGAAUGUUGACCCUGCUACCACUGAAGAGAUUCUGGAUAUGCAGCCAGGGGAACUUAGUGCAGGUGAACUCAUGACGUAAGUGAGGAAAGUGGCUGUGAGGAAAUGGAUGAAGGUGUGCCAGAGGAAGCGAUGCUGGAAAAAACUUCACGGUAAAGGCACUCUUAGAGAUACUUCACCACACCCAAAAUGCAAAGGGUAACAUGUUGGAAGCUGAUCCAAAUUCAGAAAGGAGUAUGACAAUCAGCCGAGACAUAUGAAAGAUGCUUGUUUCCUACCAUGAGUUCUGCAACAAGAAGACUGCAAGCAUUAUUCAAAGUACUCUUAAUAUAUUUUUCACAAAGAAAUAAAACACUUUCAUUCCAA